rnacentral:rRNA from 1 species
GUGAACAAUUAAGGGCGCGCGGUGGAUGCCUAGGCUCUCGGAGGCGAAGAAGGACGCGAUAAGCCGCGAUAGUCCACGGCGAGGUGCAAGUAACCCUUGACCCGUGGGUUUCCGAAUGGGGCAACCCGGCCGUCUAGAUGACGGUCAUGCAUUAUCAUGCAGGCGAACGCGGGGAACUGAAACAUCUCAUUACCCGCAGGAGAAGAAAACAAAAUGUGAUUCCCCCAGUAGUGGCGAGCGAACGGGGAAGAGCCCAAACCGGUAGCGUUUCGGCGAUACCGGGGUCAUGGGACCACGCCAUUCGAAACAAGAUGAAGUGCAAUUACCUGGAAAGGUAAGCCGCGGAGGGUGAUAGCCCCGUGCACGUCAAUUCUUGUGGAGAUAGUGGAAUCCCGAGUAGGGCGGGACACGAGAAAUCCUGCCUGAAUUCGCCAGGACCUCCUGGCAAGGCUAAAUACUCCCGAGAGACCGAUAGUGAACCAGUACCGCGAGGGAAAGGUGAAAAGUACCCCGAGCAGGGGGGUGAAAUAGACCCUGAACCCGCGCGCCUACAAGCGGUCGGAGCCAUGAAAUAUGGUGACGGCGUGCCUUUUGCAUAAUGAGCCUACGAGUUAGUCGUCACCAGCGAGGUUAAGGGCUUCAGGCCCGUUAGCCGAAGUGAAAGCGAGCCUUAACAGGGCGACGAGUUGGUGGCGCUAGACGCGAAACCUUGUGAUCUACCCACGAGCAGGUUGAAGUCGCGGUAACGCGUGAUGGAGGACCGAACCGGUAAACGUUGAAAAGUUUUCGGAUGACUCGCGGGUAGGGGUGAAAGGCCAAUCAAACUGGGAAAUAGCUCGUACUCUCCGAAAUGCAUUUCGGUGCAGCCUGUGAUGUUCUGUUCCAGAGGUAGAGCUACUGGUUGGACGCGAGGGCUUCACCGCCUAUCAAAUCCGGAUAAACUCCGAAUGCUGGAACACGAAAUCAUGGAGUGAGCCCGCGGGUGCUAAGGUCCGCGGACGAGAGGGAAAGAACCCGGACCACCGGCUAAGGUCCCGGAUGGACAGUUAAGUUGAUCAAACGAGGUGGGAUCGCGGAGACAGCUAGGAUGUUGGCUUGGAAGCAGCCAUUCAUUUAAAGAGUGCGUAACAGCUCACUAGUCGAGCGAUCCCGCGUGGAUAAUACACGGGCAUCAAACUGUCAACCGAAGCCGUGGGGUCAGUGUUGAACUGACCGGUAGGAGAGCAUUCCUGCCAGCGUUGAAGGUCACCCGCGAGAGUGACUGGAGCGGCAUGAAAAGCAAAUGUAGGCAUAAGUAACGAUAAUGGGGGCGAGAACCCCCCACGCCGCAAGACCAAGGAUUCCCCGGCAAUGUCAAUCAGCCGGGGGUCAGCCGGCCUCUAAGGCUAACCCGAAGGGGGACGCCGACGAGAAACGGGUUAACAUUCCCGUGCUUCUCGUCACCGUGACGCGGUGACGGGGUGAUGAAUGGACCGCGCGCUGACGGAAUAGCGCGUUGAAGACCGUACCCUUUGACGGUGGUAGUCAAGCACGCCACCGGAGGCGAAAGUCGAUAGUACCUCGAGGCCUCGGCCGAGGGGAUAGCGUCCAGGCAAUUUACCCCCGAGAAAACCCGCUAAACUUCAAGUGACGAGGAACCGUACUGUAAACGGACACACGUGGUCGGGUAGAACAUACCAAGGCGCUCGAGUGAUUCAUGGUCAAGGAACUAGGCAAAAUAGUCCUGUAACCUCGGGAAAAAGGACGCUCUAGUGAUAGAGCCGCAGAGUAAUGGCCCAGGCGACUGUUUACCAAAAACACAUGGCUAUGCCAAAUCGAAAGAUGACGUAUAUGGCCUGACACCUGCCCGGUGCCGGAAGGUUAAGAGGAGAGCUCAGCGGAAACGAGAAGGUUUGAAUUGAAGCCCCGGUAAACGGCGGCCGUAACUAUAACGGUCCUAAGGUAGCGAAAUUCCUUGUCGGGUAAGUUCCGACCUG